ACUUCCUUUUCCUUCUUCCUCCUCACCGUGUGCCCCUUUUUUUUUGUGAAAACCCUAGCUGUCGAAACCAGCAGCCGCCCUUGAGUCCGUCGCCGGCCAUCCGCACCUCCAGCUAGACAUCAGUUCCGAUAGUCGCUCGCGGAACGCCUCGGUCGCUCGGUGUUUGCAGUCUGAAGCAGUCGUUCGUCGACCCCCAAUCGCCGCCGCCUGCCGCCGAAGACCCACCCCCAGGUCAGCCGUCGCCCCUACCUCCUCGCGUCAACAGUCUGAGCCACACGCACAAGGUCUCUCCCCAGUCCCUCGUGGUCAUUGUCGAGGUGUUGCCCGUCCGCUCGUGGGUCGCUGCUGCUCAGAUCGACGGCAACGAACUCGAGCCACUGCUCAGACCGGCGGCAACGAACUCGAGCCCCCAUCGACGCCCAGCCUCGAGUUUUGCAGUUGCCAAGUUCCCAGUCGUCGAUAAUGCCAGAACGUUAGAGUUUGUGUGUGAUCGAAGUUUGGUUUGGAGAUUGGGUCGUUCCGAGUCGCCGUCAAGCAAGGAUUGUGAGCAAUUGGUGAGUUUAAUUGGGUUCUUAACACCCUUCGUUUCGGCGUGUAUCUAUAGUCAAUUUCGUGUCUGAAGCUCCACUGUAGUUCGACUUGAGCAAACACUUCGAGGUUCGAUUCAGGAUUCUUUUUAAGCAAGGAAGGAGAUAAAUUUGUUCGAUUGAGCUCAAACUCUAAGGUAGCGGUUGAAAUCCUGGAGCCUAGCUUACAGCUGCCAGUCUACCACAAAAUAGUAGAUGAUUGAUAGACUUGAAGAUGUCUUAGGUCUUGAUCAUGUCUAUGAUGUUUUUGAAGUUCGUGUACAUACUAGUUGUGAAGGGUAGAGUAACCCUGCCUGUAAUUAUGUUUUGUUGUAUAAGUUGCGCACCCUAGGUGUAAAUAUAUGUAAUUAUGUGUUGGUAUGUAAAGCCCAUUGGGAAUGAUAAUGUCUUUUGGUUACUUUACAAGUUUAAGUUAGGUUGCAUGCACUAUAACUUUCAUA